CUCCACGGCGCUUUCGAACUAAUAGGUUUCAUGUUACAUCAAUUCGAGCUUGCUCGAUCUGUUCAAUUGCGACCAUAUCGGAAGAG